UAACAAUGACCAAACCGCAUUGAAUUCUCUAUAAAGUCCAUGGGAAAGUGCCUUUACCUUCAUCGAGACUGUAGUAACACCCAAAUCUAGCCAUGGCUUCUCCUGUUCUCCCCUUAUCAACCCAAACCAUUAUCUCCAACUCCUCCAUUCAAACUUCCUUCUUUCCGAAAACAUCUCAAUUUUCCUUGAAUAAGAAGAUCACAAAGCCUGACUGCUCUAACCCAAACAGAGUAGUGUCCUGCAAAGCCACCAACGAUGGGAACAAAGGAGACUCUUCUCCCAACAGGUUUGAUAGAAGGGAUCUCCUAAUUGGGUUAGGAGGUCUCUACGGUGCAACCAACCUUUCCAAUGAUCCGUUUGCAUUAGCAGCUCCUACUGCCGCUCCUGAUCUAACCCUUGGCGGUGAUGCAAUAAUUUCUGAUAAAAAGAAGGAGACUAAAUAUCGAAAGUUUGCCAAGAAAGGGGGAAGUGGUCAUGGUCAUGCUAUGGCAGCCGAGACAAAGAAGAAAAACGUUAUACGCAGUGUCUUCCCGAUAGUUUUAGACAAAAUAGUGACCGUUGAGAUUCCAAGGCCUAAGAAAUCAAGGACCAAGCUUGAAAAAGAUGAAGAAGAAGAAGUAUUGGUGCUAGAAAGCAUUCAAUUACGCACAGAUACUCCGGUGAAAUUUGAUGUUUACAUUAACGAUGAGGAUGAUGAGGCACCUAGUGGACCAGAAAAUUCAGAGUUUGCAGGGAGCUUUACCAAUAUUCCUCAUAACCAUAAGCACGCCAAGAAGUUGGAGACAAGUUAUUCUUUGGCAAUUUCAGAUUUGUUGGAGGAUUUGGAUGUUGAAGGUGAUGAUAACAUUGUGGUGACUUUAGUGCCUAGAGAAGGGAAGGGUCUUGUUUCGGUCGGCAACAUCAAGAUUGACUAUAUCCGAGAAUGAUCGGUUCGUUCCUUCUCUAUCUACUUUAGGGAAAUGUUUUCCUUGAUCCUUAGUGCUUCUUGAGAUCGAUCCAAUCGGUCACCUGUUCCCUUGUUUUGUUUUUGUGAAAGGAUUCUGGGCAAGUUGAUUGGUGACCCAGACUUCGCCAUGCCAUUUUGGAAUUGGGAUGCCCUUACGGGCAUGCCUAUACCUGCCAUCUAUGUAAACCCUUAGUCUCCACUCUACAGUGACAAGCGUAUGCUAGCCAUCAGCCACCAAAGGUUGCUAAUCUUGAUUACAAUGUCCCUAUAAUAAAGAGAUUACAGAUAAAGAGCAAGAAAUAGUUAAUCUCAAGGCCAUGUACAGACAGAGUGAUCGUAUUCAGGAAUGAUCAGUUUGUUGCUUAUUUCCUUGCUUCCGUAUCUACUUUAGGGCAUGUUUUCCUUUGAUCCUUGUGUUCUUCAGAUCGAUCUAAUCGAUCACUUGUUCCCUUGUUUCAUAUAUCAAUAUGUUUCCAAGUAUAAAUAAUGCCAUUAAGUCUACGACCAUAGAACCUUGUAUGGCAUCUUCUCAAUAAGGAGACUUGUUUAGAUUUUAUGUUUGGCCUUGUCAUCCAUGUAUUUUGUUUCAAUUAUUAUUUGAAUCCGUACUUACACACCACUUGUUGCAUUCUUAUCCUUAAUAAAUAACUAAUUAAAAUUUAUUGAAAAUCAAUUUUUAUACAUUUUAUUGAUGAAAACUAAAUUAAUAAAUUAAAGUUAAAACUUAGAAAAGUAAAUCAAAAUUAGAACAAUUAAUGAAUUUUAAUAAGUAAUACAUUAAUUGUAAAGAAUCUAUAAAUAAAAAAUAUAUAUAAAACUAAAAUUUAAUAUUAAAAAUCAUUAGUUAUAAUCGAAUUCGAAUAGUUGUUUUUAAUAUCACUAUCUCAACCUUACUCGCACUCUUUGGCAAAUAAUAAUUUUAUUAUUUAAUUUUUAUCUGAACAAUAUUAUAAAAUAUUUUAAUUUUAAUUAUUUAAUCUAAUCAAGUAAUAUAAUGUAUCCGAUUAUAAAGUAAUCAUUGACGUAAGAAGGCAAGAAAGAGAUUGUUGGAAUUUUAAGUUGUGAUCAAAGGAUAUCAUCCUAAUAUUUAUAUAUUAGGUGCGUGAAACAUAGAAUUCUAUAUAGAUCCGUCAUGGUUAUUACAAGUACAAAGUGUACUACAAAAUGUACUUCGCAUAUAGUUUUCUCACAAAAAGAAAGAGCUGUACUGCACAAAAGGGUUUAUAUAAGAAAUGCCUCAAACUAAUUGAGCCUAUAUCAUUUUGAAGCUUGUCAACUUUUCACUCCAUCUCAAGAAAUUAUGGAGCACGUUUUCUGUCCAUAGAUAGGCCCAGAAUGGGCUAGGCUUUCAAGUCUGGUUGGGGAGUUUGGUCUAUGGGCUCAAAAUUGGGUCCAAGGUCUGGAGCUGGUGGUCCAAGCCUAAAGGCCCUAGUUUUCAUCAGGUGAGUUUCUGCUUGUGCAAUUGUAUGCUGGCUAACCCUUUGAAUACUUUUUGAUCUAAGAUAGCGUUUAGUAUAAAGAAAGUGAAAAUAUAUUUUUUAUAACGUGUUUAAUUAAAUUAUAUUAUAAUAUUUAUUUUAUAAUAAAUUACUAUAAUGUAAGAUUGUAACAUAAUCACGUUAUAGUUAAAGGAUCUAAUGUGAUCGUAGUUCAAAAUUAACGCAAUCACAUUACAUUAUACUUUAUAAUAUUAUUAAAAAUAUUUUUACUCUUCAACUUUAUUACAUUGUUAAAAAUAUUUUAUAAUGUUAUAAUUAAAAUAAAAUAUAUAAUAUAGAAAUUAGAAAUUAAAAUAAAUUAAAAUAUAAGANAAUUAAAAAAUUGAAAAAAAAAAAAAUAAUAAAAUCAAUAAUAAAAAAUAAAAAAUAAAAUAUAUGACAUUAAAAAUAUAUUUAAGAGAUGAUAUGAUAUAAAAAUUAAUAAUAAAAAAUAUAAAUAUAUUAAACUUAUAUUUUAAUAAUUAGAGAUAAUUUUAAAAAUUGAUAUUAUAUUUUUAAUAAAAUAUUUAUAAAUCAAAUGUUAUAAUAUUAUUUUUUUUACAAUUAUAUUACUUGUAUUAUAAAAUACCCAACAUAACCUAAAUAGUAAAUUUACAUGCACAAAGUACUCAAGUCUUUUUGUUUGCUUUUUGGAUGAAAUUCAAAGCCUCAAGGGCUAAGGUUCGGUAAGUGUGUAAAUUUAAUUGUCGGCAGCUACAGCAAUUUCAAUGUAUAGAGCCUUUAUUUUGGCAACUGGCUAUGGAACUUCAACGACCCCAUUGAUUGCUACCCAUUACUAUUGCUCCGGCUGUAGUCACCUAUGAAUGGAGAUAACAUAUUUCAAUGGAUAAUUCACGCUUUAUUAUUUUUUAAAGAUAAACUACAUAUUUUGUUACUUAAGUUUUCGAACAUUUUUAUUUUUAUCACUUAAUUUUAUAAAAUUACGUUUUAGUUACUAAUAUUUAUAAAAUUAUUGAUUUUUAUCACUCAACUGCUAUAAACUUUUUUUUGGUCAAUAGGAAUGCAAGGCAAUAAUUGAAACAUAGAUUUACAGAAUCUCUCUGCUGCAGCCUCAACCACCCCAAUCAAGUACAAUUUUAAAGAAAAUGAGUCUCAACACUGUCGAAACCAUCAUAAAAAUAAUUUUUAUUCCCAAAACCAUAUCACUUUUUCGCAUCAACUAUUUGAUCAUAUGAUAUGAUCAUACCAACUCAUCUAUCAUGGAAUCAAAAUCAACUGAAAAAAAAAAGUUAUCAGAGAAUCGUUAGUUUUUAGUAUGUUAAUGAUUAAAAUAUUAAUUUUUACAUACUAUUAAUGAUUAAAACGUGAGUUUUCAAACUUUAAUGAUCAAAACAUGAAUAAUUUAAUCAUUUUCUUAUAAUCUCUCAUAAUUUUUAUUUGUUAAUUUGUAUUUUGUAAUUUCUCAAUACAUUGUUAAUUUAAGUUAAUUUUAAGUUAAAAGCCAAUCAUUUUAUAUGUGACAAUUUUAAGUUUAUUUGUUUUUUGUGACGGGCAAUCCUGUUUUACCAAUAAAUUGUGGAAAAAUGAUAUGAGUUCUUGCCUUUUUAGAGGGAUGAUUGAGUAUUGAGAGAGAAAAAAAGCAACACCGUUCUUUUUCAGUGCUGAAAAAAGGGCAGCUGACUCACAGACUGUCAAAGUUAAAGCUGCCAUGACAUGACAGGAAAAAAGUAAAAAAAUAAGUAAAAUAGUGAGUUUGAUCCUUUUCCUUAGGUGUAAUUUGAUUAUAAAUUAUGGACCGAUCACAUUCAAAUACGUUUAUGAUUGGAAUUUUGAAUUUAACUAAAAUGAUUGGAGUCCGACUCAUUUUUGCACCACUAGGCAUAAUAAAAGAACAUGCAUGAUCAACGUGGGAGGAAAGUGUUUCCCCUUUUUCUCCUCCUUUGAUUACUUUGAUGAAUGUGAAAGGAACAUUUCAUUUGCUUUGAAUCGAGCUGUUCAGGACAAAACUUUUUCUGGACAGUAGCUGAUCAUUCAUGUUCUCUCUUCCAUUAUUUUCUUGUGAAUUAUUCAUGGAAAUUGAUUUUGAGAUCUGGUACUAUUGGUAAAUGGCAUUUACCUCUACAUUUCAAUCAAGCAAGUUUGGUUCUCAAAGAAAACAAUAAGGUAAUCUAGCUUUGGGUUGAGUUACAUUGAUUACAUUCAUCCCCACUGGAAACCUAGUUCUCUAUAUGGUGUGGACUAAUGAAGGGCCAGUGGGCAAAUCACUCUUCAUUGAUUGGCAUAAGACGCGGGGAACCAAAUCUGAGGGAGGAUUCAAAGUCUCUAAUAAUAGCAUGCAGAGGGUCCAGCUCUGAGUUGUCGUGUCGUUUUCUCCUUAUAAAUUCCUACCUAACUCGGUAGCAAAAAAAAUUUUAAUUAGCUACAUGUGCUUGUCUAGUAUAGUAGUAGAGGAAUCUAAUCCAUUUCGAUGUUGACAAAAAGACAAGCGAUUGCACAAAUUUUGUAUUGAUCUUCUCCAUCUGCAGCUCCAUCCAGAGAUCUGCCACACCCAUGCCGGAAGAGACAUUAAUGGCGAAGAAGAUAAAAUUAAUUAAGCAGAAGAUGCAGACAACCAGCCCACCCCAGUUGGAUUUAAAACAGGUAGUGGCAUUUUUAUUAUUAAUGUGACCUGUCCAACCACAUGGCAGACUUAUUAAAAUAUAAUAUUUUCGAUAUUAAAACUUAUUAAAAUAUAUGUUUUUUGGAGAAUCACAUGGUAGAUUUUAAAGUAAGAUAAUACUUCCAAUAGAGGAAUAUAUUUUAUGUAUAUCUAUAUCAAGAAAGCUUCACCAUAUCGAUUUUCUAAGGAUUUAAUCUUUGAAAAAUCUAUUAGCAUGAACCGACAGUGGUAUCAUAUUAUUUUGAAAAUCUGCACCCACACGUUUUUAUAUAUAUAGAAUAAAGGCACAUGGUUUGUUCCAGAAAUCAAUAAGAUCGAUCCGUUUGAAAUGUAGGAAAAAGUUUUCCCGAGAAAGUUUUUCAAUAUUUAUUCAUAUUUAAAAAGAAAAAAAAUGUAAAAAUGAAUAUAAAAAAAUUUUUGAGUUAGAAAAAUUGUCUUGCAUUUUUUUUAAAAAUAAGAUAAUUUCUCAAAAACAAAACCUUCACCUUUCCCUUCUGUUCUUCCUCAAUCUUCAAGUAAAAUAGUUUCCACAGAAAAUCUUUUUUUUUGGUAAGUUAAUUUCUGAGUUAGAAACGAAACCGAAGAAGAGAAACAACAUUGAAACUCUAGGAGUAUGCAUGUGAAAAAUUAGUUAGGCUUUAUUGUCAAAAUAGGCAGCCGAAAUUAGCACCAUUAUUUGUACUUUUAUACAUCCUAAAGCUUAUAGAUGAUCAUUAUGUAAAUACAUAAUGAAGUUAAUACGAGUGUACUUCGUAUCUAACUAAAUAAUUAAAUGCAGCAAAGUAAGGUAGUUAUAAAGUAAAUUCGACCGAAAAAAGAAGGACUAAAUAGUAAAUUUUUCAUUUAAAAAAUAAAUGGUACAUAUUUGGUUUGAGUCUCACCAUGGUCAUUAAUAUUUAACUAAAUAAUAAGUUUUUCAUUCUAAAUUUAAUAGAAAUGUAAUGCAACAACAAUUAAACGUAGCGAAUUAAGGUAUUUACACAGUAAAUUCGACCAAUAAAAAAUCAAAUAAAUAGUAAGUUUUACAUUUCAAAUCUUUACCAUGAUUUGUUUACGGUGACGUCCCCGCACCUGUGGGGUCGAAAUAUCAUGUUAUGACCAAAAUAACUGAGCUGGCAACUCACCUACCCCUCCCAUUUCGAGAAGGAAAUAAAUAAACAAAUAUAUAAAGUAACUAGUUUUGAACAUUUAAUAAAAGAUAAGGCAAGUCGUGGGCGAUCUCGGGUUUCCACACCCGCCCCAACGGGCGCUUUCGAUUAUCGGAUUAGCAGAACCCCAACUCCCACCAUUUAUUAGUAUUUUUUUGGAAAAAAGCACGUUUUCUGUUGGCUCAGUUUUGUUCAAGAAUAGACAACCUUGGAACAGGGUUUUGCCCAAAUCUGUAUCAAUUAUCAAAGACUUUUUUUUUCCGUGGUUUGUCAGUGUGCCAUGUGAUCAAAUGGUACCCAUUUUUGACGUUUGAGAGUGGAGACAUAUCUCGGGCUCUACGUUCAAAGAAUCAUAUCCACUACUCUUUUAAUUUCAUUUUCAAGAAAAUAAUAAUAGUACUUUCUGCUAAAUUUUAUGUCCUAUAGAAUCCAAUGCAUGAAUAUGUUUUGAGAAUAAAAAUAUUCCUGAUCAGAUUAAUUGUUAAUAUUUAGUACUUUAAGAUUUUUUUUGUUUAAUCUAACAAGCGAGAGACUUAAUCUUAAGUCAUAAUCUUAUUGUUAUAAGAUUUAUAAUUUUUUACACAAGCUUACACUCUUAAGUCCACGUUUAAUAAGUCUAACACAAUCUAUUAAAUUAAAUUAUGGAUUAUAUAAACUUAGCUCCUUUUUUUUAUAUAAAAAACAUAAUACUCAAAAAAAUUCUUUAACUGUUUAAGAAAAUUCAGAUAAACUUUUUAUGAUUAAUGAUUGAUUUAUUAUCAUUAAUCAAAAUGUCCAUUAUUAUUUUAUGUUCAUAUGGUGUUAACGUAAUAUUGAUGUGAAGAGUAAAAAAAUGUUAUAUCAUCAUGUCAUUAUACCACAUUAAUAUGUCAUGUCUUCAUAUAUUAAUGAAAUAUUUAAAUAAGCAUUGAAAUUGGCUUAGGAUGUUAGUGUCGGUCAUUGCCAUGUGGUAUAUAUAAAAUGACAAUGAUAUUUUGAUUAAGUCAAGUAUUAAUUAUAAAAAUUUAUUUGACUUAAAAUAAAAAUAUAAUGAUUUAUUUUUUACUCAAAAUAAAAAAUACAAGUAUUUGAUUGAAUAUAAAAAAAAUAUAAAAUUUUUUAAAAUUUUUUUGAAUAAUUUAAAAUUUUUUAAAUAUUAUAUCAAAAAAUAAAAUAAAAUAAAUAACAUAAGCCCACACUUUAUCAUUUGAAAAAAAUAAAAUUAUUAAUAUUACCUUUCCGUACUUAGUGGCAAAAUUUUAUGAUAUUUUAUGAUGAAUUUCAUCGCCAAACGUAUAGAUCCAUUCACAAAAAGUUUGCACUCUAUUAUAAUCAAUUGUUAUGUAAUAUGAUUUAGUAAUUAUCACGUAUAAUAGUGAACGUUUUGAAAUUAAAACAAUAAUAAAAAAAAUUCAAUAGUGCAUGUUUUAAGUUGGUCCAGAUUCCUUUAAGAGGGUAGCAUGUGAAAUUGCUGGAAAACAUUCAGUUUUUCUAUUAUUAAAAUAUAACUUCUUCGAUAGUGACGAAACUCAAUAAUAAUUUCUUUUUUGUCAACUUUUGCCAACAGAUUACUUUAACUUUUGAUAACAAUUAAUUUCGUAUAGUGUGAAGAUCAGCCAUGUGAUUUAAGUCUUCUUUACUAGUGUACAAAAAAACUACUGUAAAGAAUGCUGUCCAAAUGUUCCACGAGGAGAAAAUAUCUUACGGCAUUUUAGAAAGGACAAAGAAUCUUUCACCGGUGGCUUUUUUAUUGUCAAAUUUAAUCAAUCAAAUGGCUAAGAAAAUAAAUGCAUGAUAAUAAUGGCGAAGGAUCCAAACCCCAUUGAAUUCCCUAUAAAUUCCAUGCAAAAGUGUUGUCGAUCUCAUCAAAACUGUAGUACCAUCAAAUUCUAGCUAUGGCUUCUCCUGUCCUGCCGUCAUCAACCCCAACCACUAUUUCCAGCUCCCCCAUUCAAACUUCCUUCUUUCCAAAAACAUCUCAACUUUUCUUGAAUAAGAAGAUCAAAAAGCCAGACUACUCCGGCCCAAGUAAAGUAGUGUCAUGCAAAGCCACGAACAAUGGGAGCAAAGGAGACUCUUCUCUCAACAGGUUUGAUAGAAGGGAUCUCCUGAUUGGGCUAGGAGGUCUCUACGGGGCAACCAACCUUUCCAAUGACCCAUUUGCAUUAGCAGCACCUAUUGCCGCUCCUGAUUUGACCCUUUGCGGUG
rnacentral:lncRNA from 1 species